rnacentral:lncRNA from 1 species
UUUUCUCUUCCCUUAGAGAUGUUUGCAGAAUUCAUGAAUUAUUUGCGUUUUGAUUUUCAAAACAACAUGCUUUUUUUAAGGGGCUAAGGGUUAGAUUCUGUCACUCUUAUUUCUGAGGGUUAAGCAGAGAAGUAAAGCACUGCUCAGUGCAUGCAACAGGAGCAGUCUGAUCUAUACUGUCAGGAGAUACACUCUCAUAAACAGCUCUGUAAUGGAGAAUGAUGCCUGCACAGCAGGGGCAGCACCUUGAUAAAGAAGAUUUAGUUUUUCCAUGGUAGUAACCAUUGGCACUGUAUGUGUUGAUAAUGGCCUGUGCUGAGGGAGCUAGGACCCCUCUUAAAAUCUGCAGAAGGUGUUGCACAAUACGUCUUAGAGCUUCUCUGCUUCAAAUGGGAUCGCAGCUGUUAUACUCCUUUGUUGUCGAAGUGGUCCUUGAAAAUUACGGACUGAGCCCUGUGAAGGUCUGAGUGCCUCCUGAGAGGCUGAGCGUGCUCCUGGUUCCCCUGGAUUUCAGUGAGAGCUGGGAGGAAAAUCAUACCCCUUGAGAAAGCAAGAACAUAGAAGAGCAGUGAGCAGCAGGAUUCAGCCUGUGAGAGUCUUGUUUUUGGAACUUGAACAGCAAGGUCUGAAGAGAUUGCAAUGUCCGGAGCUGACCUGUUGUUUUUUAACAACAAGUUUGUUAGUAACCUGGAAACAAAAAAAUCUGGAGGAAAUCGUGACUUCUACUGCCCAGUGCCAUUGCACUGGCUUGAGGGGAAUGCUGAGAAUAAAGCUAGAAAAGCCGCGAAACACCUCUGCCCGCUCAUUAGUUAUAAAAGUGUAAGAUUCUUCUGCUACUUUUCUUCUCUUGGCAUUAUAGCUGAAGAAGAUCCUGGAAGACUUAAUGGUAAUGGCAGACAAGUAGUUUUGCUUUUAGAUUAUUCUCUUAUUUGAAUAUUUUUCAGACAGACAACUAUAAUAAGGAAAAUUAACAUACACUUCUAUAUAAAAGCAUGAUUUUUUUCCACUCAUUCAUUCUUUGUUCAUUGGACUGUUUUGGAGUUAAUGUCACUUUAAUAGCUCCACAUUUGUCAUAAAGUUGUAGUGCUA